GAUGAACGCUAGCGGCAGGCUUAAUACAUGCAAGUCGUGGGGCAGCAUGUCCCGAGCAAUCGGGAUGAUGGCGACCGGCAAACGGGUGCGGAACACGUACACAACCUUCCUUUUAGUGGAGAAUAGCCCAGGGAAACUUGGAUUAAUACUCCGUAACAUAUAGAAGUGGCAUCACUUUUAUAUUAUAGCAGCAAUGCGCUAGAAGAUGGGUGUGCGGCUGAUUAGAUAGUUGGCGGGGUAACGGCCCACCAAGUCGACGAUCAGUAACUGGUGUGAGAGCACGACCAGUCACACGGGCACUGAGACACGGGCCCGACUCCUACGGGAGGCAGCAGUAAGGAAUAUUGGUCAAUGGACGCAAGUCUGAACCAGCCAUGCCGCGUGGAGGAUGAAGGUCCUCUGGAUUGUAAACUUCUUUUAUUUGGGAAGAAACCCAUCUUUUCUAAGAUGGCUGACGGUACCAGAUGAAUAAGCACCGGCUAACUCCGUGCCAGCAGCCGCGGUAAUACGGAGGGUGCAAGCGUUAUCCGGAUUCACUGGGUUUAAAGGGUGCGUAGGUGGGCAAGUAAGUCAGUGGUGAAAUCUCCGGGCUUAACCCGGAAACUGCCAUUGAUACUAUUUGUCUUGAAUACUGUGGAGGUCAGCGGAAUAUGUCAUGUAGCGGUGAAAUGCUUAGAUAUGACAUAGAACACCAAUUGCGAAGGCAGCUGGCUACACAAAUAUUGACACUGAGGCACGAAAGCGUGGGGAUCAAACAGGAUUAGAUACCCUGGUAGUCCACGCCCUAAACUAUGGAUACUCGACAUUUGCGAUAAACUGCAAGUGUCUGAGCGAA
rnacentral:rRNA from 1 species